AACUGAUACAAGCCAUUGACUACCUUUCCUCUCACGAUAAGCUCAUUUCUCUGAUAAUCCUUUACACAGACAGAAGAGGCAUCAAAUACAACAGAGACAUCAUUAUCACGACACAAUUUACUAAUUGAGAGAUGAUUUUUAGAAAUAGAUGGGGAGUGAAUAAUAUCUUUUAAAUGGACUGGUUUUGAAUCAGUUGUGAUCACCGAAUUCCCAGUGAUAGAAACAGAAAUUGAAUCCACAUUUGGAAAGGCGAUGCAUGUUAUAUGGAAAUAAUAACGUUAUAUAGUAAUAACAUUAUAUGGAAAUAACGUUAUGAUUAUAUACAUAAUUAGUUAUUAUUUAACUAUGGUUAAUACCUCUUCCAACUAGACAGUCGACCACGACUGAUAGCCUAAAGGGAUUUGAACUUAAUUGAAUAGUAGCUAGUUAGUUAGUUAUUUUAUGUUCUGUCACAGGUUUAUUUUAGUUAUCGUAUGUUUAAAAUGUGUAGCCUUAUUUUAGUUGGAAAAUGACUGGACCCGGACCCAGUCCGGACCCAUAAAAAAAUCCGGGUCUGGGUCCAAUAAAUGAUUUAUUUUUUUACCUAAAAUUUUUUAAUAAAUAAUUAAAUAUACAAAAAUAGUUAAUAAAAAUAGAUUAUUUCAAGAUAUUUUUGGUGUAUUUAUAUUUCACCCUUAAGUUAUUAAUAUAUUAUAAAAUAGAACAAAAUUCCUAUAAGCUCACUCUAAAGAAGAUAAAAAACGUUCUCCAAUUUGAGCCGUCCGUUUUUAGAGAUAAAUGGAUGCAAUUAUGACCGUUUACUAAAGAAAUGAUUAUUUUAGUGUAGAAGUCAGUCAUAAGUUGGGUGUCAAACGAGCCGAGCUUUGGCUUAUUGAGCCAGGCUCGGACUCGGCUCGUUAAAGAGUUAUCCAGGCUCGAGCUCGCCAAGCCUGGUUUGGCCGAGCUCAGGCUCGGUUCGUUAAUGAUUUACCAAGGCUCGGGCUCGGUUCGUUAAUGAUUUGCCAAAGCUCGGGCUCGAAGCUCGCGAGCCCGGGCUUGCAAAGUCGGGCUCGAGCUCGAAUUUAACCUGAAAUUGCAGGUUAAAAUAAAUAUUUUGGAGGAGUUAAAGAGUUAUAGAGCCAGGCUUGGCUUAUUGAGUCUGAAUCGGGCUCGGCUCGUUAAAGAGUUAAAGAGUAUAAAUCGGGCUCGGUUCGUCAAAGAGUUAUCCAGGCUCGACCUUCUCGAGUUUGGUUUGGCCGAGCACGGGCUCAGCUCGUUAAUGAUUUGCCAAGGCUAGGGCUCGCAAAGUCGGACUCGAGCUCGAACUUAACCUGAAAUUACAGGUUAAAAUAAAUAUUUUGGAAAAAGUGGAAUAUCAAACCCACAAUCUCUCAUGCUAAACAAAUAUUUUACCAUCUAAGCUAUAUCCUCAUUUUAUUCAAAUAUAAUAUUUUUAUUAUUAUUAUAUAUACUCCUCUUACCGAACCCACCGAGCUUAACGAGCCGAACUUGGAAUGUCCAAAUCACAUAUUUCUUCUAUUGGUAGGAGUAAAGUGUAGAUACUGUAGUCAUAGGUAGGAGUAAAGUGUAUAUUUGUAUAUUUUGAGAUGUGACAACUGAUACACUCAUCCAAAUCACAUAUUUCUUCUAUUACUUCCAUUCCUCUCCAAAAAAGAAAUAGUCCCUCCCUCGCUUCACUCCCCGACGAUUUUCCCACGUCGUUGUUGUGUCUACGUCUCCGUUCUUCGAAUCUCCACGUCUCCGCGUCACUGAUUCUCAUCUCCGCGUUCGCCGGAAUCCAAGGUUGUGUAAAACCUGUUCUUUCUUUCUAGUUUCCACAUCAAAAGCCCUACAAAACCUAGAUCUUCAUUCACUGCUACACCACAAGAACAAAUCUACACCCAUCUAUCUUGCUUUCUAUUUCUUUUUUUUACCUACAAAUCUAUACCUAUCACUUUGCAGUUUGCCCAGAUGAAGCUUGCCUUACUCGGAUGAAGGCACUUCGAAUCUCCGACAGUCAUUGAGAUCUUCCUCGAUGUACACUCACAGUUUGAAUCUCAGCGAGCUGCCUGAGACAGUUGAGCAUCUCGAGCAAGAAACUUGAUGAACUGGGAGACCAACGCCGGAGAGCUUUUUUACCCCGACAUGGAAUGACGGAGUCCGAGUAGUAACGGUGCUGGAUAGAUGAACUGGGGAGCUGGUAUUGGUGGGAACCAUAGAAGGAGCUCUUAUCUGGCGGACCUCUACGCGUGGGUAACGAUGCAUCUGGAUUUGGGUGGAAACCAUGUUUGUACUUCAUAAGAGGUUACUGUAAGAACGGAAGUUGCAGGUUCCAGCAUGGACUUUCGGAUGUCGUCAUGGUCACGGUUAGAUCUAUUUCGAGAUCUACUUCGAGAGAUGCAAAAGGAAAAAAGUCUGACCAGAUGACGUCGCGUCACGGUGCUCUCCGCCUGUGCCCGUAUAGGAGCCUCGGAACAAGGCAAGUACGCCCAUCUUCUAAUCGAGAGAUUUCAAGUGAGUGAUGCAACCGAUAUAACCGGAAUGCAAAAUGGACGGAUAGACCUGAUAAUCUGAGGUGCUUCGGAUCCAAGAUCGAAGAUCAAGGAUAUCCUAAGCGCGAGCAGCGGAGAUCUACUCCUGAAAUCAAGACUUAGUCCUCUCGGGAAGUGCUGUUAAGCUGGCCGGCAGGAAGCUUGAUGCGGCUGAUCAGCGGAUUGAUCGGAACGGAUUGGAUGAAGAGGUGACGGCGGACAGGGGGUGUACUCGACCAAGGUCGGGGUGGCCGUUGCUGGGUGAUUGGACAGCAAAACGGAUUGUUUUUUGAUUGAUAAAAUUCUUCCAAAGUUCAUACCUAAUUCUAUCCUUUAUAGUCAGGACGGAAUUGUAAAAAUUAAACAACUUAAGGGUCUGAACAUAAAAGCCCCUUUAACAAAUUAAUUAAAUUUAAAUAUCAUGGGAUGAGCCCAUAACGUAGUCUUUGGACCAGACUGGUGCGGUUCGGGCGCGAACCAGUCUAGGGUUGUUCAAACCCGGUUCUCCUUCCUCCAACGGACUCCAACCCUCGCCCUCUCCUAAAUAUGAAAUUAGGUCGCUGGCUUCUACCUCCUCCGUACGUCGGCAGUUCUCCAGGACAUCUCCGGUUACGUCUCCAACCUCUGGCAGCUCCGUAUCAGUGAGAUACGAUGUUGUAGUGGAGAUACAGUUCUGGUUGAUAUGUAUGCUUUACGCCGGUUCUGAGCGUUGGAACGAAGCCAUGAAGGUGAGAAAUCAGAUGAAAGCUAAAGGCAUCUCAAAAAUUCCCGG
rnacentral:lncRNA from 1 species